UCCGGUUUGUCACCGGCAGUCUCAUUAGAGUGCCCUUGCGUAGCAACUAAUGAUAAGGGUUGCGCUCGUUGCGGGACUUAACCCAACAUCUCACGACACGAGCUGACGACAGCCAUGCAGCACCUGUGUUCCGAUUCCCUUUCGGGCACACUCGCCUCUCAGCGAGCUCUCGGACAUGUCAAACCCAGGUAAGGUUCUUCGCGUUGCCUCGAAUUAAACCACACGCUCCGCUGCUUGUGCGGGCCCCCGCCUAUUCCUUUGAGUUUUAACCUUGCGGCCGUAGUCCCCAGGCGGUGAACUUAAUGCGUUAGCUGCGGCACUGAUCGGGUCAAUCCGACCAACACCUAGUUCACAACGUUUAGGGCGUGGACUAC
rnacentral:misc_RNA from 1 species